GGGGGCUUAGUUCAGCGGGAGAACGCCUGCCUUGCACGCAGGAGAUCAGCGGUUCGAAUCCGCUAGCCUCCACCA
rnacentral:tRNA from 1 species